GCUCGUCCGCACACACAAUAUGCCAGUACUCACACGUAUUACCAUGGUUCACAGCACAUACAAUAUACCAUACUCACAAGUAUUAUCAUGGCUCGUCAGCAUACACAA